rnacentral:rRNA from 1 species
CGAAGGUCCUUUGGACGCACGUUGCGCCCGAUGCCAUUAGGUUGAGGGCACGUCUGCCUGGGUGUCACAUAUCGAAACCCCCUGCCAAUUUCCCUUUGAUUAUUGUGCAGGGUGGAUGUUGGCCUCCCGUGAGCUCUUUUGUCUCAUGGUUGGUUGAAAAUUGAGACCUUGGUAGGGUGUGCCAUGAUAGAUGGUGGUUGUGCGACCCACGAGACCAAUCAUGCGCUGCUCUAUUGAAUUUUGGCCUCUUUUACCCAUAUGCGUUUCUAAACGCUCGUGAUGAGACCUCAGGUCAGGCGGGGCUACCCGCUGAAUUUAAGCAUAUCAAUAAGCGGAGGAAAAGAAACUAACAAGGAUUCCCUUAGUAACGGCGAGCGAACCGGGAUAAGCCCACCAUGAGAAUCGGUCGCCCUCGGCGUUCGAAUUGUAGUUGAAAAAAAACCGUCAAAGGG